rnacentral:rRNA from 1 species
UACGUAGGGGGCAAGCGUUGUCCGGAAUCAUUGGGCGUAAAGAGCGUGUAGGCGGCCAGAUAAGUCCGCUGUGAAAUCUCGAGGCUCAACUUCGAGCUGUCGGUGGAAACUGUCUGGCUAGAGUCCGGAAGAGGAGAAUGGAAUUCCUGGUGUAGCGAUGAAAUGCGCAGAUAUCAGGAAGAACACCCGUGGCGAAGGCGGUUCUCUGGGACGGUACUGACGCUGAGACGCGAAAGCGUGGGGAGCGAACAGG